GCGGGUAUAGUUUAGUGGUAAAAUACUUCCUUGCCAAGGAAGAAAUUCGGGUCCGAUUCCCGAUACCCGCA
rnacentral:tRNA from 1 species